rnacentral:rRNA from 1 species
GUGAACCGAUAGGAUGGAAGCAGUUAAAGUUGACGUACGUGUGUUGUGUUCAGGAUCGCACUUUUGUGCGGUUUGUUUUCACAGCCGAUGUGGGCCGGCGGCUUUGGUCAAUGCAAUGUGUCUAGCGUCGAUGGAGACCCUGCGGAGGGAUAAUCGGUCGGCGUACGGUGCUUGGUAUGGCUAAGGUUUCGCCGGUCUUAAAGUCAGCGCCUUAACUGACCCGUCUUGAAACACGGACCAAGGAGUGUAGCGUUUACGCAAGUCUUAGAGUGUAUCGAAACUUUGAGGCGUAACGAAAGUGAAUGCAGUUUAAUCUGCUGACUUGGGAUGCGUUGUCUCUUGUGGACGGCGUCGGACCAUGGUUUUAUCGCGAUCGCUUGCGAUGCGGUGAAAAUAGAGCGUAAACGGUGCGACCCGAAAGAUGGUGAACUAUGCCUGAGCAGGAUGAAGCCGGAGGAAACUCUGGUGGAAGUCCGAAGCGGUUCUGACGUGCAAAUCGAUCGUCUGACU